GACGGAGGAUGCAAGCGUUAUCCGGAAUGAUUGGGCGUAAAGCGUCCGCAGGUGGCAGUUCAAGUCUGCUGUCAAAGACCGGGGCUUAACUUCGGAAAGGCAGUGGAAACUGAACAGCUAGAGUAUGGUAGGGGCAGAGGGAAUUCCUGGUGUAGCGGUGAAAUGCGUAGAGAUCGUGAGGAAGACCAGUGGCGAAGGCGGGUCUCUGGACAGUUCCUGACACUGAGGCACGAAGGCCAGGGGAGCAAACGGG
rnacentral:rRNA from 1 species